GCUCGUGCCUCGCUCUGCUUCCUCUGCAACCAUGUCUGUCUGACAAAGCCUAUAUGGCUGAGAUUGAGAAAUUCGUUAUAUCAAAAUUGGAGACAGAAACACAAGAAAAAUUCACUGCCUUCAAAAGAAACGAUUGAACAGGAGAAGCAAGCAGGAGAGUCAUAAUGAGAGACUGCAAAAACAAAAAACAAAAAACCGUAUUGCCUUGGAGGAGGGACUUUGAAGAACUGGUGAGCCUGGGGAUGAGUCAAGGAGGGAGAAAGAGAGGGUACAGCAGUCUUCUGGAUAGACCUGGAAAAGAAGUAGUGCACAGACCAGGAUCCCUGACUUCCUGGAGUGUGAGUAAAUUUGAGUCUGGAACCCACACUAUCUCUGAGGUGUGACAGCAGUCUUCAGAGGAAGUGAGAAAAGAUUUGCUUUGGAUUAGCUUGUAUCAGACCAACUACCAGCUGAAGACAACUACCAAAACUGGAUAAAAGCCAAACCAAACCACAUAUAUAUAUUUGCUUUUUCAGCCCACACCCGUGGCAUAUGGAAGUUCCCAGACUAGGGGUAGAAUUGGAGUUGCCAGCUUACACCACAGCAAUGCAGGAUCCAAGCUGCAUCUGCAACCUACACCACAGCUCAUGGCAAUGCUGGAUCCCCAACUCAAGCAAGGGCAGGGAUUGAAGCUGCAUCCUCAUGGAUACUAGCCAGAUUCACUUCUGCAGUGCCACAAUGGGAACUCCAAAUAUCUCUGCAUAUUUGAAGAAUUGGAAAGGAACUAAUGCAUCCAGGACUUUAUGUGACAAGAUCUUGGGAGAGAAUGGAAAUGCACUGAAGUGAGCUGAACAGUUUAUGCUAAUGUUUCCCCUCUUGGGAAGUGUUCUGAUUUGUAGCAUGGCGCAUAGAGCCUGAGCACCCUUCACUGGCCUCCCACUAUGUUCAGAACCCCUUCUUGGCACAUAUGGUUUCUUCUUGCCUGGACUGACAGCCCUGUUUAAUGCCACCUUUCCUCUUUUAAAUAAUGCUUUAGUCACACUGGCCUUUUAAUUCUUCCUGCUUGAAGCUCACUCAUUCUCCACCCUAUUCCCUCUUCCUGGAUUGAAUUCUUUCACUUCCUUCCUGGUUUAUUCCUUAUACAUUUUCCAGGUAUCACUUCCUCAGAGAACUUCCAUGACAAUCUUUCUAUGUCCUAUCCCACCCUGUCUCUAAAUUAGAGACCACUUUCUCCCCAGCACCUACACAUAGCACACAGUAAGCACUCAAGAGAUAUUUAUUGAACAAGUGAAUGAAAGACUGUUUGAAGGGAGUGUGGCAUAGUGGAAAGAACUCUGAAUUUUACCUCAGGAGGUUACAUUCUAGCUGGGAUCUAUUUUGGGGUGGUCUUGGGCAAUCAGUCCCAUCAAUGUUUGGAGUCUAUUUAUUUUAUUUCCUUGCUUUUAAAGUGCAGAUACCCUACUAAGUUUUAAAGUGCAGAUACCCUACUAAGUUCAUAUGGUUAUUGCAAACAUAAAAUAAUAUUUGUAAAAUGCUACUGCAAGUGUUAGUGUACUACUCACAGACUCAAAAGGAAAUCACAUAUAUUCCAACAGCAAAAUAUCUUUUAAAUGCUGAAUUAUUGACACUUUACUACAUUUACCAACAUUACCAACUCUUAAAAGGCAAAACUUUAUAAAUGGUAGUGAAAAAUAAAUAAUUCUAUAUGAAAAAUUUUCAUAUUGCAAAAUUUUCAUUUUAUUUAUAUAAUAAUAUAACUCUGAAAUAUGAGUUUUAAACAAGCCUUUAUUUAUCUAUUAUUUAUUUCUGUCUUUUUAGGGCCUCACCCCUGGCAUAUCGAAGUUCCCAGGCUAGGUGUUGAAUAAGAGCUGCAGCUGCUGACCUACACCACAGCUCAUGGCAAUGCCAGAUCCUUAACCCACUGAGCGAGGCCAGGGAUCGAACCUGCAUUCUCAUGGCUGCUAGUCAGAUUCGUUUCCGUUUCGCCACGACAGAACUCCAACAAGGCUUAUUUUUUAAAGGAUGCAGCUAAUGAGUAUAUUGUAACACCUAGUAGGAGUUCAGCAUUUACAGAAUACAUUUUCUUGUAACUUUUGCUUUUCCUCUGCCAUUCACAUUGGAUAGUAAUUCAUACUCAAGACAUUUUCAGGAGUUCCCGUCGUGGCGCAGUGGUUAACGAAUCCGACUAGGAACCCUGAGGUUGCGGUUCGGUCCCUGCCCUUGCUCAGUGGGUUGACGAUCCGGCGCUGCCGUGAGCUGUGGUGUAGGUCGCAGACGCGGCUCGGAUCCCGCGUUGCUGUGGCUCUGGCGUAGGCCGGUGGCUACAGCUCCGAUUUGACCCCUAGCCUGGGAACCUCCAUAUACUGCGGGAGCGGCCCAAGAAAUGGCAAAAAG
rnacentral:lncRNA from 1 species